GAUGAACGCUGGCGGUGUGCCUAAUACAUGCAAGUCGAGCGAACAGGCGAGGAGCUUACUCCUCUGACGUUAGCGGCGGACGGGUGAGUAACACGUGGAUAACCUACCUAUAAGACUGGGAUAACUUCGGGAAACCGGAGCUAAUACCGGAUAACAUGUUGAACCGCAUGGUUCGACAGUGAAAGACGGUCUUGCUGUCACUUAUAGAUGGAUCCGCGUCGCAUUAGCUAGUUGGUAAGGUAACGGCUUACCAAGGCAACGAUGCGUAGCCGACCUGAGAGGGUGAUCGGCCACACUGGAACUGAGACACGGUCCAGACUCCUACGGGAGGCAGCAGUAGGGAAUCUUCCGCAAUGGGCGAAAGCCUGACGGAGCAACGCCGCGUGAGUGAAGAAGGUCUUCGGAUCGUAAAACUCUGUUAUUAGGGAAGAACAAAUGUGUAAGUAACUAUGCACGUCUUGACGGUACCUAAUCAGAAAGCCACGGCUAACUACGUG
rnacentral:rRNA from 1 species